rnacentral:rRNA from 1 species
UACGUAGGGUGCAGGCGUUAAUCGGAAUUACUGGGCGUAAAGCGUGCGCAGGCGGUCUAUUAAGACAGGUGUGAAAUCCCCGGGCUUAACCUGGGAACUGCGCUUGUAACUGAUAAGCUUGAGUGUGGCAGAGGGGGGUGGAAUUCCAGGUGUAGCAGUGAAAUGCGUAGAUAUCUGGAGGAACACCGAUGGCGAAGGCAGCCCCCUGGGCUAACACUGACGCUCAUGCACGAAAGCGUGGGGAGCAAACAGG